CAUGGUCACUUUGAUUAUUUAUUUCUUUUACGCACGGUUGCCAACUACCAGCCGCUCUCUCGCUCUCUCACUCCUUCACUGAAGUUCGUUAGUUGGGAAACCAGACAACUUAACUCCAAAACGAUAAACGUUUAACUUAUUCUCACCAGAACUGUUUGUUUUUAUAUCAACUUUAAACCUAAAUGAGAUGGCGCUAUUUUUGUAUUAUUUGAAUAAGGAAACAAGAUAAAUUUAUUGUACCUGUAGGUAAAAAAAGGAUAAACAUGGAGGAGAUUGGAAAGAAGGAAAAGAGAGCAAGAAUUAAACUCUUAAAUAUGUAUGGAUGAUAUUCUUGUUGCUAGUGUGAUGGUGGUACAAUUGUUAGUAGCUCUGCUUAUUGAUAUAGUUAGCGGCUACUUUCAUCCAAGAUCUUCGAUAAUGAUACUCAAAAUAGCGGACCGACAAUAAAUAGUUUUAUUUUUUUAAUAUUACAUUAUU